ACGAACGCUGGCGGCGUGCUUAACACAUGCAAGUCGAACGGAAAGGCCCUGCUUUUGUGGGGUGCUCGAGUGGCGAACGGGUGAGUAACACGUGAGUAACCUGCCCUUGACUUUGGGAUAACUUCAGGAAACUGGGGCUAAUACCGGAUAGGAGCUCCUGCUGCAUGGUGGGGGUUGGAAAGUUUCGGCGGUUGGGGAUGGACUCGCGGCUUAUCAGCUUUUUGGUGGGGUAGUGGCUUACCAAGGCUUUGACGGGUAGCCGGCCUGAGAGGGUGACCGGCCCCAUUGGGACUGGGAUCCGGCCCAGACUCCCCCGGGGGGCAGCGGGGGGGAAUUUUGCACAAUGGGCGGAACCCUGAUCCACCACCCCCGCGUGCGGGAGGACGCCCUUCGGGUUGUAACCCGCUUUCCCCUUUGACGAAGCGUGGGUGCCGGUAAUGGUGAAAGAAGCCCCGGCUAACUACGU
rnacentral:rRNA from 1 species